AUUUCAUUUAUAAAGGUAACACAGGCCUCUAUUUCAUUUAGAAAGGUAACACAGGCCUCUAUUUCAUUUAGAAAGGUAACACAGGCCUCUAUUUCAUUUAUAAAGGUAACACAGGCCUCUAUUUCAUUUAGAAAGGUAACUGUCUAUUUCAUUUAGAAAGGUAACACAGGCCUCUAUUUCAUUUAGAAAGGUAACACAGGCCUCUAUUUCAUUUAGAAAGGUAACACAGGCCUCUAUUUCAUUUAGAAAGGUAACUGUCGAUUUCAUUUAGAAAGGUAACUGUCGAUUUCAUUUAGAAAGGUAACACAGGCCUCUAUUUCAUUUAGAAAGGUAACACAGGCCUCUAUUUCAU